GUCAGGAGAUGGACUGUACUAACAGAUUAAACACUUAGUCCACUUAUCAUUGACAUAAACCAAUAACAAUAUAAUCUCUUAUUUGCAGAAAAAAUGCAGGGGAUGAGGUUGGUAAUCUGUGCAAGCAGAAAGAUGCAACAACGGGAGAGCUAUAUGUUGAAACUAAAGGGACUUGAAGAGGAACUUUCACAAAAAUGGAGUUCAAAACCUUUUGAUUACAACCCUAAAAAGCAGCCGCCUACCACUCUCUCCACAAGAAAAAAAUAGAGAUAAAGCCAUUCAAAAAGAAAGCUACCUACACAGAGGCUGCUAAAGUUCUAAAAAUGGAUCCUUCCAUAAGAACCUCUUCAAGUCUACAAAGGUUAGGAGAAGGCCAAGCAAUGCAUAUCAAAAGGUUAUGAAUUCUCAUAAGGAAGAGAAGCAAUUCAUACCAUAAAUUAAGGGAAAAAUUGCAUUGGAAACAGGUUUAAUACCAAAAAAAUUGCUUAGCAAGAAAGAUAUAUUUAGAUAUUAAGCUGUCUCCUCUCUCUCUCUGUCUCUCUCUCUGUCUCUCUUGUAUUCUAUCUCUCUCAAUAUCUC